rnacentral:rRNA from 1 species
CGAUGGAUAGGGGUUCUGAGAGGAAGGUCCCCCACAUUGGAACUGAGACACGGUCCAAACUCCUACGGGAGGCAGCAGUGAGGAAUAUUGGUCAAUGGACGAGAGUCUGAACCAGCCAAGUCGCGUGAGGGAAGACUGCCCUAUGGGUUGUAAACCUCUUUUAUAAGGGAAGAAUAAGUUCUACGUGUAGAAUGAUGCCUGUACCUUAUGAAUAAGCAUCGGCUAACUCCGUGCCAGCAGCCGCGGUAAUACGGAGGAUGCGAGCGUUAUCCGGAUUUAUUGGGUUUAAAGGGUGCGUAGGCGGUUUAUUAAGUUAGUGGUUAAAUAUUUGAGCUAAACUCAAUUGUGCCAUUAAUACUGGUAAACUGGAGUACAGACGAGGUAGGCGGAAUAAGUUAAGUAGCGGUGAAAUGCAUAGAUAUAACUUAGAACUCCGAUAGCGAAGGCAGCUUACCAGACUGUAACUGACGCUGAUGCACGAGAGCGUGGGUAGCGAACAGGAUUAGAUACCCUGGUAGUCCACGCCGUAAACGAUGCUCACUGGUUCUGUGCGAUAUAUUGUACGGGAUUAAGCGAAAGUAUUAAGUGAGCCACCUGGGGAGUACGUCGGCAACGAUGAAACUCAAAGGAAUUGACGGGGGCCCGCACAAGCGGAGGAACAUGUGGUUUAAUUCGAUGAUACGCGAGGAACCUUACCCGGGCUUGAAUUGCAACUGAAUGAUGUGGAGACAUGUCAGCCGCAAGGCAGUUGUGAAGGUGCUGCAUGGUUGUCGUCAGCUCGUGCCGUGAGGUGUCGGCUUAAGUGCCAUAACGAGCGCAACCCUUAUCUUUAGUUACUAACAGGUCAUGCUGAGGACUCUAGAGAGACUGCCGUCGUAAGAUGUGAGGAAGGUGGGGAUGACGUCAAAUCAGCACGGCCCUUACGUCCGGGGCUACACACGUGUUACAAUGGGGGGUACAGAAGGCAGCUACCUGGUGACAGGAUGCUAAUCCCAAAAGCCUCUCUCAGUUCGGAUCGAAGUCUGCAACCCGACUUCGUGAAGCUGGAUUCGCUAGUAAUCGCGCAUCAGCCAUGGCGCGGUGAAUACGUUCCCGGGCCUUGUACACACCGCCCGUCAAGCCAUGGGAGCCGGGGGUACCUGAAGUGCGUAACCGCGAGGAGCGCCCUAGGGUAAAACUGGUGACUGGGGCUAAGUCGUAACAAGGUAGCCGUACCGGAAGGUGCGGCUG